GAUGAACGCUAGCGGGAGGCUUAACACAUGCAAGUCGAGGGGCAGCAUAGGGUAGCAAUACUCUGAUGGCGACCGGCAAACGGGUGAGUAACGCGUAUGCAACCUACCCUGUACAGGGGGAUAACCCGGAGAAAUUCGGACUAAUAUCCCGUAAUAAUAUCCGGAGGCAUCUUUGGAUAUUUAAAGUUUCGACGGUACGGGAUGGGCAUGCGUAACAUUAGCUGGUUGGUAAGGUAACGGCUUACCAAGGCUAUGAUGUUUAGGGGUCCUGAGAGGGUGGUCCCCCACACUGGUACUGAGACACGGACCAGACUCCUACGGGAGGCAGCAGUGAGGAAUAUUGGUCAAUGGGCGCAAGCCUGAACCAGCCAUCCCGCGUGCAGGAAGACGGCCCUAUGGGUUGUAAACUGCUUUUCCAGGGAGAGAAACUUACGCACGUGUUGCGUGACUGACGGUACCCUGGGAAUAAGCAUCGGCUAACUCCGUGCCAGCAGCCGACGGUAAAAGUGUGUGUA
rnacentral:rRNA from 1 species